CCUACGGGUGGCAGCAGUGGGGAAUAUUGGACAAUGGGCGAAAGCCUGAUCCAGCCAUGCCGCGUGUGUGAAGAAGGCCUUCGGGUUGUAAAGCACUUUCAGUGGGGAAGAAAGCCUUGGGGCUAAUACCCUCGAGGAAGGACAUCACCCACAGAAGAAGCACCGGCUAACUCCGUGCCAGCAGCCGCGGUAAUACGGAGGGUGCGAGCGUUAAUCGGAAUUACUGGGCGUAAAGCGCGCGUAGGCGGUCUGAUAAGCCGGUUGUGAAAGCCCCGGGCUCAACCUGGGAACGGCAUCCGGAACUGUCAGGCUAGAGGGCAGGAGAGGAAGGUAGAAUUCCCGGGGUAGCGGUGAAAUGCGUAGAGAUCGGGAGGAAUACCAGUGGCGAAGGUGGCCUUCUGGACUGACACUGACGCUGAGGUGCGAAAGCGUGGGUAGCAAACAGGAUUAGAUACCCGUUAGUC
rnacentral:rRNA from 1 species